UACGGAGGGUGCAAGCGUUGUCCGGAAUUACUGGGCGUAAAGAGCUCGUAGGUGGUUUGUCGCGUUGUUCGUGAAAUCUCACGGCUUAACUGUGAGCGUGCGGGCGAUACGGGCAGACUAGAGUACUGCAGGGGAGACUGGAAUUCCUGGUGUAGCGGUGGAAUGCGCAGAUAUCAGGAGGAACACCGGUGGCGAAGGCGGGUCUCUGGGCAGUAACUGACGCUGAGGCGCGAAAGCUAGGGGAGCAAACAGG
rnacentral:rRNA from 1 species